UUUCUAGAAAUAUUAGCUUUAUUUGCUUCCGCUGUGCAAUGAAGAUACCAGUCCAGUCACGCCAGCUCUAAUAAUUUCGGGGUGUGACAGAUUGGUAUCAGAGCUAUAGGUUACAGUGAAUUAGGUUUCUAUUGUGGUACCUAGGCUCUAACCUCACCUUUCCCCCUGGGGACUUAGAUCAUUGAGACAUUGAACACAUACAGAACGCCUAGUACUCGAAUAUGGUCUCCAACCGUUGCCGAAAAACAAACAGUCAAAAUUUUGUUUUCAAACAAUACGCUAAAUUGGUGUUUUAUACACGGUGCAUAAAACAAUUACAUACACUACACAACACUCUGAGGGUUUAGGAAACAUGCAUUUAAGACCUUCGGAAACUUAUGUUGAAGUUCAUUAAAGGUCAUCGAGUACGAACCACGAAUAUUAACUCGGGCACACACUGUUAUCCAUAUUGUCUAUGAUAUUUUAACUUCCCGAGCAGGCAGCAUACGCACAACAGACGCUAGUGCACGAGGAUACAUGGAACCCAAAUUUUAUGUCAACAGAUGUCGGAGUACAUCACAUUCUACGCGAGACGAAACACUAAUGCACAGGUAUACGUGAAACUUAAGCUAUAUAUCAACGGGGGUUGAAGUUCGACACAUACGACUAUCAAGGCGAGGCCUUUGAGAAGAAACGAUGGCGUAAUUCAACGACGACACUAGAUUCCUGUCAGCAGGAGAACUAUCGGUCAGGAAGCGGCGGUUUGGCACGCGGUCCUGCAAACGACACGAGUCAUGCUCGGGAGAAGACGCAUGCCUUCGUAUUCCCCCUAUCUUAUUAACGACGAAUACGAUAUGUUCGACAUUCCAUGGUAAUGUCACCUAACAAUUGGUCGUCACACGAAACCCCAGGUAAAGUCCUCAAAUUUCUUUUGUUGAAAUUUAGACUUUCACACCUACUGAGUAGAUUUUCGUAUCUCUACUCCUCUUAAUGGUCAUUGUGUCACGAUCAUUUCUUUCAGUAUAGCGAACACUAAUUGCUUUAUUUCUUGGAAAACUUAUAUGUUACAUAUGCAUCGUUUGCUACGCAUGUGGUUUCGUUUCGAAUAAGCGUUUCAUUAAAGUUCAAAUAUUGCUUCGCUAAAUCUAAUUAUCGAUUUGUGAUUUGAAUGACCCGCAUUAUCGUAAUUGUUGGCUCCUUUGUUAUCAAGUUAACACAUUCUCUUGAAAUUUUCUUUUCUCUUCAAGUUACACACAUGGUUUUCGUCGUCACCAUGCCGGAAUUUCCUUUUUGGAACAUAUAUAUUUUUGUUGGAUUGCGCUAAAACCAAGUUCAAUUGUUUGAACUUGCCAUUACACAUAUUCACUUCAGAGCAUCAUAUGAUGUAUUGAGGGCAUCAUAUUCAAAAUUCGUUUUAACAAAUGUUUUAUUUUUCCGAGUCGAAGUAAACUUGUUUGACAUUCGACUCCACUAAAUUGUUUGUUGAUUUCGACACCUCGUGGUGGUAUCUUUCACUUAUUUGAAGCUUGCGCUAAACUCGUUUAGGCAUCUCAUGCACGGAUUUAAAUAUUUACUUAUUGAUUGCUUUAAAUCCGCUUUGAUUUAUCAUAACUAAAACAGUCUUAACACAAUCGUGUAUUAAGACAGUGGUACACAAAUUCAUUUUUAUAUUCCUGUGUACCUCCUAACGGUCCUUUCAACAUCGAUUGAAUGUGUUGCGAUAUUCAUUGCUUCUUCAUCAUCGAUCGAGAACGUUAUUUCUUUGAUGUUUCAUUUUCAAUUGAAAAUUCUAUGAUGUCAUUUGAAACAAACUUUCAGAUUCCCUUACUGCGCAUUCAUUUGACUUCAAACACGGUGAAUUUGUUUGACCACCACUAUUAUUGAAUUGUUUCAUUCAUUGCGACACCUUGUGGCGUCAGUAUGACUUGCAGCUUGCGCUGAUCACGGUCGAGCGUUCCAUGCAAACUAUUACAUUUGAGAUUGUUGAUUCUAAGUUCAUCCAGUGGAUGUUAUUGCUUCUAGAACUCAUUUACUUAUUGAGAACGCUCAUAUGGAAUUCGAUUGGUUGAAGAUCCUGUUCAUUGUUGGAUCCCUGAUAACUUAGUCACAUCAGUGACUGUACCUAUACGUCUUGUUUCCUUUGACAUCAAUUCCUGAAACACACUUCUUUUAAACCGUUGGGUUCUUAUUGUUGAGGAAUGUCAUUAAAUUCACAUGAUUCGGAUAUGUCUUGUUUCGAUUACGCGGUCAUUCAUUUGUUAUUAUUCGAACUUACCUGUGAACAACACAAUUCUGAGAAGGUAACAUAGCCUAAAUUUCGAGGACGAAUUUCCGUGACACGGGGAGAACGUGACAACCGGUGAUUUACGACACCUAAUUUCGUGAUUAACAGAUGAUUAACGCAAUAAUAAAUAGUGUUUGAAGACGUAGAUUAACUUAAUUAGGCCCUUGGAAAGCCCAGGAACGUUUAUUUGAUUUACACAAUGCACGUGUGGUGAUUUACGGGAAAUUGCUGGAUGAUAAGCGACACAGAUUAAAACCGAACAAGAAUACUAACAACGCCGACAAAUAUUAAAUUUUUACAAUAUAUUUUAGCUUCGUAAUCAAAUUUUAGUGACUACAGUCGAAAUCGGAUCGAAAAACGAAGUAAAGACGGAGACGAUAUAAUAUUACGCGCUUUUUACGCAACCGACAACUAAACGCACAAACAACGACUACCGACCAUAUUGUAUGUAUUUUAAAACGUAAAUUUUAUCCUUUGACGUUAAACAAAGUUCGGGUUUUGACAACGGGUCUCGUAGGAAUUACGGGCCAAUUACGCAUGAGAUGGGCUUGUGGCCACCGGGCCCAACCCCAAAACCCGCAAGACUAAACCUACACAUAAUAUAUUAACCUUUACUACAAGAUUUUUGCUUGUGAAUCUUUCCAUAAUCCCUUCAAGAUCUAAGUAAAAUCCUACAAAAUCUUAUAACAUACUAUAAAAUCUAUACAAAAUAUUUUCUAAGAUUUCACAAGAUAUCUUCAAAUCUCUAAACCUCUAUAUAUGACCAUACCUCAUUCCUUUCUACACUCCCACCAAAAAUUACCCCUGCCUUCCCCUUCUCUCUCUCGAAUAUUCAUUCAGGAAACAAAUUCCCACACACAAAAAUCUGUCUUCUCACUUGAUGCUAUCCAACAUUCACACAUACACCAUCUAAGCUCUCUCUCUAGAGCAUCUUUACAGACAACACACACCAACAAUACACCCCACCUCACUCACUCGACACCUUCUCUCUGUGCAUUGAAGGCCGGCAACUGGUCCGGUAAGACCACCGGCGGUGCAGCGGUGGUUGUUUCCAGCAACCGGCGAGACCCCCCCACCCCCUUUCCUUUGUUGUGUGUAACCGGUCGACCACCACCACCACCGUUUGGUGGUGGUGCUAUGACGAAACGAGAGAGUAAGAAGAAGAAAUGACAGACUGAGAGAGAGAGAGGAACACUGAUUUCCGGUGAUGAGCGGCGGAGCACGGCGGACGACGGACAAGCCGUCGUCUACGGCGGUGUUGGUUCCGGUGACUGUUCCAAGUCACAGCAGUCGCAGGUCCAUUAUACGGUGAGGAGGAAGAGGAUAUCGUGAGGAUGAUGACAAUGAUUAGGUAGAUGAUGGUGACGACGGAGGAGAUACGGUGCCGCCGUGCGGCGUCGGUAGUCGUAAUGGUUGUUGUGGUUCAAGUCUCGUCUCGGGUCUGAUUUGUUAUGGGUGCGGUUCUUGGUUUGGUUCGGGUCACAGUUCGGUUUCGGAUCUCGGUCAAAGGGAGUCAACAAGUCAAAGGUUCGGUUCAACUCGGUUCGGUUACGGUUCAAGCUUGGUUUGAAUCGGUCAACUGGUUUCGGUUCGGGUUUUCGGGUCAACUCGGUCAACCCUGUUGACUCAGUCAAAUCAAUCGGUCAACUCAGCGAGUCAACUCAGUUAACUCGGUCAACCUAGCCAAGCGGCUCGACGUUUCGACAACUCGAUGACAGUUUUGGUAAUAGUUUAAGUCGAAAUUUCGUUAAGUUAUCUUUAUUAUUUUCUUUUCUAUUUCACGUGAUAACGAGCUCGAAUCGACAUGGUUAUAGUUUACGUUUUAUGAAAAAUUUGGCGAACUUGAUAUAUAUAAUUUGAAUCUUGAUUAUAUUGUUGAAUUUUGAUGAAAUAACGACAACUUGUGUUGU